rnacentral:rRNA from 1 species
CACGCCGUAAACGAUGAAUACUAGGUGUAGGAGGUAUCGACUCCUUCUGUGCCGGAGCAAACGCAUUAAGUAUUCCACCUGGGGAGUACGGCCGCAAGGUUAAAACUCAAAGGAAUUGACGGGGGCCCGCACAAGCAGUGGAGUAUGUGGUUUAAUUCGACGCAACGCGAAGAACCUUACCAGGGUUUGACAUCCUUUGUCCGCUAUAGAGAUAUAGCUUUCUCUUCGGAGACAAAGAGACAGGUGG